rnacentral:rRNA from 1 species
UACGUAGGGGGCAAGCGUUGUCCGGAAUCAUUGGGCGUAAAGCGCGUGUAGGCGGCUUCGUAAGUCCGUUGUGAAAGUCCAGGGCUCAACCCUGGAAUGCCGAUGGAUACUGCGGAGCUAGAGUCCGGAAGAGGCGAGUGGAAUUCCUGGUGUAGCGGUGAAAUGCGCAGAUAUCAGGAGGAACACCAAUGGCGAAGGCAGCUCGCUGGGACGGUACUGACGCUGAGACGCGGAAGCGUGGGGAGCAAACAGG